rnacentral:rRNA from 1 species
UACGUAGGGGGGCAAGCGUUGUCCGGAUUCAUUGGGCGUAAAGAGCGUGUAGGCGGCCAGGUAGGUCGGUUUGUGAAAACUGGGAGGCUCAACCUUCAGAGGUCGACCGAAACCAUCUGGCUAGAGUCCGGGAGAGGAGAGUGGAAUUCCUGGGUGUAGCGGUGAAAUGCGCAGAUAUCAGGAAGAACACCCGUGGCGAAAGCGGCUCUCUGGAACGGUACUGACGCUGAGACGCGAAAGCGUGGGGAGCGAACAGG